CCGACGUGCAGAAAUUGAAGAUAUUUUCUAUACUUCGUAAAAUGUGAAUAUGAUUUUCGGCAAUUUUUAAACCUAAUUGGAUAAGCUUUCGAUUAAAUGUAAUUCCAAUCCUGUAUCAACCAAUCAGAAGCCGUAUAGGAUUCUAUUCUGAGUACCAUCUUGGGGUAAAAAAACUUGCCGGUUAAAUGUAAACAAAUAAUUGCGC
rnacentral:lncRNA from 1 species